AUUUUUUAAGGUUGUAAAAUUUGAGUCCUCAGUAAACCAGAGGAGAGAAGAAUGAAGAAAUCCUUGAGAGUUUUACUGGUGAUCCUGUGGCUUCGAUUAAGCUGUGUGAGGAGCCUGGAGGUGGAGCAGAAUCCUGAAUCCCUCAGUGUUCCAGAGGGAGCCACUGCCCCUCUCAACUGCACUUACAGUGACCGUGCUUCUCAGUCCUUCCUGUGGUACAGGCAGUAUUCUGGGAAAGGCCCUGAGUUGCUGAUGUCCACAUACUCCAAUGGUGACAAAGUAGAAGGAAGAUUUACAGUGCAGCUCAAUAAAGCCAGCCUGUAUGUUUCCCUGCUCAUCAGAGACUCCCAGCCCAGAGACUCAGCCACAUACCUCUGUGCAAUUCGGGAAGGAAGAAACAAGUUCUGUAAAAGUUUUGAUAUCACAUCUGUGAAACGAGGAGGAAACAGCUCUGUUGGAUCGUCGAUCCCACCGCUGGCCUCCAGAGGGCGAUGUUGCACACAGGAGACAUCUGUUAUAGAGGUGGAUCCUAUUCACCCUCUGAGCCCCUCCUCCCUGCAGGUGGCUGAUGCAUCCUCACUGAUGUCUGUGUAG